UCCGAAUUGGUGUAACGGUUAACAUUUCACGUUUUCAUUAUCUUCGUUGAUAAUAAUACCGUGAGGCUCGGGGUUCGAUUCCCCGAUUCGGAG
rnacentral:tRNA from 1 species